rnacentral:rRNA from 1 species
AAUUAUGGACAAUAGGGGAAAACCUGAUCCAGCCAUUCCGCGGGUAUAAUGAAGGCCUUCGGGUUGUAAAGUACUUUCGGCAGAGAAGAAAAUAUAUCUCCUAAUACGAUAUACUGCUGACGGUAUCUGCAGAAUAAGCACCGGCUAACUACAUUCCAGCAGCCGCGGUAAGACGUAGGGUGAAAACUUUAAUCGGAAUCAUUGGGCGUAAAGCGUGUGUAGGCGGUUCGGAAAGAAAGCAGUGAAAACCCAGGGCUCAAGCUUGGAACUGAAUUUUUAACUGAAGAGCUAGAGUAUGUAAGAGUGGGGUAGAAUUACACGUGUAGCAGGGAAAUGCGUAGAUAUGAGGAGGAAUACCGAUGGCGAAGGCAGCCCCCUAGGAUAAUACUGACGCUCAGACACGAAAGCGUGGGGAGCAAACA